UACGUAGGGUGCGAGCGUUGUCCGGAAUUAUUGGGCGUAAAGAGCUCGUAGGCGGUGUGUCACGUCGGCCGUGAAAACCUGCAGCUUAACUGUGGGCGUGCGGUCGAUACGGGCAUCACUGGAGUUCGGCAGGGGAGACUGGAAUUCCUGGUGUAGCGGUGAAAUGCGCAGAUAUCAGGAGGAACACCGGUGGCGAAGGCGGGUCUCUGGGCCGAUACUGACGCUGAGGAGCGAAAGCUAGGGGAGCAAACAGG
rnacentral:rRNA from 1 species